UACAGAGGUCUCAAGCGUUGUUCGGAUUCAUUGGGCGUAAAGGGUGCGUAGGUGGCGCCGUAAGUCGGAUGUGAAAUUUCGGAGCUUAACUCCGAAACUGCAUUCGAUACUGCGGUGCUUGAGGACUGGAGAGGAGACUGGAAUUCAUGGUGUAGCAGUGAAAUGCGUAGAUAUCGUGAGGAAGACCAGUGGCGAAGGCGGAUCUCUGGACAGUUCCUGACGCUGAGGCGCGAAGGCCAGGGGAGCAAACGGG
rnacentral:rRNA from 1 species